rnacentral:rRNA from 1 species
GACGAACGCUGGCGGCGUGCUUAACACAUGCAAGUCGAACGGAAAGGCCCUGCUUUUGUGGGGUGCUCGAGUGGCGAACGGGUGAGUAACACGUGAGUAACCUGCCCUUGACUUUGGGAUAACUUCAGGAAACUGGGGCUAAUACCGGAUAGGAGCUCCUGCUGCAUGGUGGGGGUUGGAAAGUUUCGGCGGUUGGGGAUGGACUCGCGGCUUAUCAGCUUGUUGGUGGGGUAGUGGCUUACCAAGGCUUUGACGGGUAGCCGGCCUGAGAGGGUGACCGGCCACAUUGGGACUGAGAUACGGCCCAGACUCCUACGGGAGGCAGCAGUGGGGAAUAUUGCACAAUGGGCGGAGGCCUGAUGCAGCAACGCCGCGUGCGGGAUGACGGCCUUCGGGUUGUAAACCGCUUUCGCCUGUGACAAAGCGUGAGUGACGGUAAUGGGUAAAGAAGCACCGGCUAACUACGUG